rnacentral:rRNA from 1 species
UACAGAGGGUGCGAGCGUUAAUCGGAAUUACUGGGCGUAAAGCGCGCGUAGGCGGCUUUGCAAGUCGGGUGUGAAAUCCCCAGGCUUAACCUGGGAACUGCAUUCGAGACUGCAUUGCUAGAGUAUGGGAGAGGGAAGUGGAAUUUCCGGUGUAGCGGUGAAAUGCGUAGAUAUCGGAAGGAACAUCAGUGGCGAAAGCGACUUCCUGGACCAAUACUGACGCUCAUGUGCGAAAGCGUGGGGAGCAAACAAG